ACGAUUAAGCACCUUCGGGUGUGUAUAGAGUGGCGAACGGGUGAGUAACACGUGACCAACCUGCCUCUUACAUUGGGACAACCAAAAGAAAUUCUGGCUAAUACCAAAUACUCCGCACAUAUCACAUGAUGUAUGCGGGAAAGCUUUUGCGGUAAGAGAUGGGGUCGCGGCCCACUAGGUAGACGGCGGGGUAGAAGCCCACCGUGCCGAUGAUGGGUAGCCGGGUUGAGAGACCGACCGGCCACAUUGGGACUGAGAUACGGCCCAGACUCCUACGGGAGGCAGCAGUGGGGAAUAUUGCGCAAUGGGGGAAACCCUGACGCAGCAACGCCGCGUGCGGGAUGAAGGCCUUCGGGUUGUAAACCGCUUUCAGCAGGGAAGACAUCGACGGUACCUGCAGAAGAAGCCCCGGCUAACUACGUGCCAGCAGCCGCGGUAAUACGUAGGGGGCGAGCGUUAUCCGGAUUCAUUGGGCGUAAAGCGCGCGCAGGCGGUUGCUCAAGCGGAACCUCUAAUCUCGGGGCUUAACCUCGAGCCGGGUUCCGAACUGGACGACUCGAGUGCGGUAGAGGCAGAUGGAAUUCCCGGUGUAGCGGUGGAAUGCGCAGAUAUCGGGAAGAACACCAACGGCGAAGGCAGUCUGCUGGGCCGUCACUGACGCUGAGGCGCGAAAGCUGGGGGAGCGAACAGGAUUAGAUACCCUGGUAGUCCCAGCCGUAAACGAUGAGCGCUGGGUGUGGGAGAUUACAUCUUCCGUGCCGAAGCUAACGCAUUAAGCGCUCCGCCUGGGGAGUACGGCCGCAAGGC
rnacentral:rRNA from 1 species